UACGUAGGGUGCGAGCGUUGUCCGGAAUUACUGGGCGUAAAGAGUUCGUAGGCGGUUUGUCGCGUCGUUCGUGAAACUUGGGGCUUAAACUCCAAGCGUGCGGGCGAUACGGGCAGACUUGAGUACUACAGGGGGAGACUGGAAUUCCUGGUGUAGCGGUGAAAUGCGCAGAUAUCAGGAGGAACACCGGUGGCGAAGGCGGGUCUCUGGGUAGUAAACUGACGCUGAGGAACGGAAAAGCGUGGG
rnacentral:rRNA from 1 species